rnacentral:rRNA from 1 species
GAUGAACGCUGGCGGCGUGCCAAAUACAUGCAAGUAGAACGCUGAAGCUUGGUGCUUGCACCGAGCGGAUGAGUUGCGAACGGGUGAGUAACGCGUAGGUAACCUGCCUGGUAGCGGGGGAUAACUAUUGGAAACGAUAGCUAAUACCGCAUGACAACAGUUAUUGCAUGAUAACUAUUUAAAAGGGGCAAUUGCUCCACUACCAGAUGGACCUGCGUUGUAUUAGCUAGUUGGUGAGGUAACGGCUCACCAAGGCGACGAUACAUAGCCGACCUGAGAGGGUGAUCGGCCACACUGGGACUGAGACACGGCCCAGACUCCUACGGGAGGCAGCAGUAGGGAAUCUUCGGCAAUGGACGGAAGUCUGACCGAGCAACGCCGCGUGAGUGAAGAAGGUUUUCGGAUCGUAAAGCUCUGUUGUAAGAGAAGAACGAGUGUGAGAGUGGAAAGUUCACACUGUGACGGUAUCUUACCAGAAAGGGACGGCUAACUACGUGCCAGCAGCCGCGGUAAUACGUAGGUCCCGAGCGUUAUCCGGAUUUAUUGGGCGUAAAGCGAGCGCAGGCGGUUAGAUAAGUCUGAAGUUAAAGGCUGUGGCUUAACCAUAGUACGCUUUGGAAACUGUUUAACUUGAGUGCAAGAGGGGAGAGUGGAAUUCCAUGUGUAGCGGUGAAAUGCGUAGAUAUAUGGAGGAACACCGGUGGCGAAAGCGGCUCUCUGGCUUGUAACUGACGCUGAGGCUCGAAAGCGUGGGGAGCAAACAGG